rnacentral:misc_RNA from 1 species
UCCUGGUUAACCCAGGCAGUCUCAUUAGAGUUCCCACCUUAAAUGUUGGCAACUAAUGAUAAGGGUUGCGCUCGUUGCUGGACUUAACCAAACACCUCACGGCACGAGCUGACGACAGCCAUGCAGCACCUGUGCAGCGGCCCCUAAGGGAGAUCCUAUCUCUAGGACUGUCCACUGCAUGUCAAGUCUAGGUAAGGUUCUUCGCGUUGCAUCGAAUUAAACCACAUGCUCCACUGCUUGUGCGGGUCCCCGUCAAUUCUUUUGAGUUUCACCCUUGCGAGUGUACUCCCCAGGCGGUAUACUUAUCGCGUUAGCUUCGGCACAACCGGGGUUGAGUCCGGCUACACCAAGUAUACAUCGUUUACGGCAAGGACUAC